rnacentral:lncRNA from 1 species
GGAACCUGCUGCAGGCGCCGGCGAGGGCGGCGAGGACAACCUGUUUUUCUGACCCAGCCCGGAAGCGCUGGUGCAGGCCUUGAGCUCCCUUUUUUCUUCUCGCUGUGGAAAUUGCCUGGAAAGCUACGAACUGUUGGUUCUUGAAUUGGUUGGCUGCCCCGGAUGUCUGAAUCCCUUGGAAGGAACCUGGAGGAGUUGGCUGAUGGGCUCCAGCUGCUACCCAAUCACCUUAACAACCCUCUGGGACCCAUGGCCAUGUGUUCACAACAGCAGCCAUUACAGGUGUUUCCUGAGCUCCUGUGAGCCUCUGUCGGCUCCAUCUCAUCGAUCCUCCCAGCAACCCACAAGGAAGCUUCACAUAGAGGCAGAUGCCACACCAGCCACCCACCCAGAUGCAGAGCCAGAUUCCCUGCGUGGACUGGACGGGAGUUUCCCAGCUGGAGUUCUUUCGGCCAAGCUGCCUGUGACAUGGGGUUGGGGGUGCUCCAGAGAGUCAUGGCCACCCCUGGAGGAAGUGACUUGUGGCUGACUGCUCAAGGGGAAGUCCUGUGGCGGUGGAGUCGUCAGCAUUAAUUCAAAUAAGCUCUCUCCCUGCGCACAAUCUGCUUUCGUGUUCCUGAUGGAUUGAAUCAAGAGUGAAUGAGCUCCUACUUUGCGAAAGCACAACAAAUUAAAUGCAUCAACCAUGACCGCAAAGCCCCCACCUCUCCCAGGAGGAGGCGCCAUGUCCCUUUUCUUCAAACUGCGGCCGAGGAGCAGAGUAUCGGCAUCACCCGGCAGCUGGUUAGAAUGCAGAUGCUCAGGCCCCGCCCAGACCCAGGAGUCAAAUCUGCAUUUUCACCAAAUCCAGCAGGUGAUUCCUGCAUGUGUACAGCUGCUACCUGCUUCCCUGGUCUUCAUCCCCUGUAAUACACAGAAAUAUUUCCAUGGAGAAUUCCAGAAGAGUUGACAGCCUGGCCACAGGGCUGCUCUGCGAGAUUGGAAUUUAUUCCUAAGCCACACGGGGAAGCUUCUUCUCAGGCUUAUGGGAGGCAGCCUGGAAGCCACUGGUGAAAUGUGAGCUGGGAGUGUGAGCCUCUGUGCCUCCGCUGACUUCUGGAGGCAUCUCGGGGAGAUACGUCACUCCUCCAAGAUUGCUUUCUCCUCUGUAAAACAGGGAUAAUAAGAAAAAAAUCUUUCUUUCUGGGUUGUUGGGAACACAAGCAGAUCCACAGCGAGUGGAGGGCCUGCUGUGAGCCAGGUGUGGCUGCGCCCUCAUGACAGGCAGAAGGCUGCGCCGGAGGAAGCUGGAGCUUUGGGGCUGGGCCCCUCAUCACCGAUGCAGGGACGGUGCUUGCUGCACAGAUUGUCCCGAGGACUAAGUGAAAUUCUGUGAGCGAAACACCCUGAACCGUAGCUGUUAUUUUUAUAACAAUUGGCUUGUGUAACUGCCCUGUGUGAUAUGCCAGCCCUUGACUCAUACCCAGAGACAGGUGGGGGCAGGUGGAGGAAGGGACCACUGUUGGCUGAAGCAGUGUCUUCUAGAUUGUUCACAGAGGCACCAUUCACCUUAGCGUACUCAGGCCUAGAUUUCUGAGAGUCCGUAAGAAGGUGCAGAAGUUAAUGUGCCAUGUUGCUAAGUAGAUUUCUUUUAAAAGGUGUUCUCUUCUAAGGUAGCGACAGAUGUGAGGGUUGCUAUGGCAACAGGUGUCUGUUUGGAGAGCACCGCACAAUAGGUGAGAUGGCUCACCAACAAUUUAUGGUCACGGAAGGUGAGCUUCCUCCCAGGAAAUUUUAGUGAGGGAUCACCUUCCUCUGGGUUUAUAUUUUCCGAAGCUGGUUUUAUUUGUGUCUUGGGAGAUUGGGCAGGAUGGGGAAGCCUUUGUGUGGAUUCAGAGCAGACUCCGUGCACAGCACGUGGUCAGAGGGUCGGAGUCUUUUCAAGAAUUGAAAGAGAUUAAAAAAGAGCCUUGAAGAAUUCGAUGGUCUUGAGAUCCUCCGAGAACAUUUCACCAGCCUGCAAAUUUCUUUGUAGCAAACAGCACUGCAAUUUUGCAGGGUUAGGAGAAGAAUCUGUAGUUGGCCAUGACUUUAUUCUUUCCAUAGAACAAAUCUUCAAUGAGUGCCUCCCGGGUACACUGAAGUUCAUGUGCUGGGGUGGGGGACCAAGGUGGCAUGGCAGGAUAUGAAGAUGAAUAAGACCUGGGCUCUGCCCUUCAGAAGUCAAGGUGGGAGAGACGGACGGACAUAGGCCGAUUGUGGAGCGGCUUAAGCUGCUAUGAACGUAUAGCUGGGGUGUAGUGAUAAGUUUGGAAAACUGGGGAUCAUGAGUUUGGCUGGGGAUCAUGGAGCAUCCUCAUUGUGGGGUUGAGGAGUCUGAACUCUCUCCCACUGGAGGCUUUUCUUCUGGGAAUGAGAUGUGGUCAGCCAGGCCCAUCGUGGUUAGCAGGUGAGGGCAGCAUGGGAGGGAGAGGACAGGCAUGGGGCUGGAGGACACUGUCAGGGCAAAAGGUGAUGGAUGGGCACCAGUCCUCAGCCCUGCAUGCCAAGACUGGCCAGGUCCCAGCUAACAGCCUGGGCUCUGCUGGUUCCCCAAAGUCCUGGGAGUUUGCUGUCUCUUCUGGGCCGGGGUCGGGGUGGAGGGGUGGUUCCCUGCAAUCCCCCCAGAGGGCUUCCAAUCCUAGCCAGAGGGGAAGGCCGUCGGUGAAGUGCCUGGGUCCCGAGUUCUGGGCCAGAGCCCUCCUGUGCAUCUGCCGGGCGCCUUUCUCAUCCCAGACAUUCUUCUCCUGGUAGGUUCCUGGGCCCCAGUCAGCUCUGGCCAGGAUCAGAUUUCCAGGCCUUGCUCUCUAACCAGGCUGGCCCAUCCCCUCCUGGAGCCACUGCCCAGAGACCCAGCAUGGCCCGUGGAUGAACCCCAGGGAUGUAAGCCUUACUGGACUGAGAUAGGAGAGCCAGGAGUAGGAGCAGAGGAGGAUGUGCCCAGAACCUGCUGGAAAGAGCCGUCGUCCACAGGAGCCCCCUGGAAGCUCUGCUGCAGCACCUGGCAACCUCUGGUGCAACAGCCAUGUGACUAGACACAAGCUGAACCCCGGAGCCGGGCAGGGAGCCAGACGGGCACCUGAGCUGUGGAUCCUCAGCCCUGUCUGGGGAGGACACAGAUGAGAGCGCAUGGGAGGCCAGGCCAGAGGGGCUCUUCUCGCCUUGGAUUCUGCACCAUCCUCUGCUUCCUGCCCAUCUGCACUUGGGUGCACCAGUGGAGAGUGAGCCCUGGAGAGCCACGGAGCGCCCGUCUGUUCUGGGCAGGGCAUGGUCUCAGCCUGCACUCCGCCUUCCCCAGCCAUAAAGCGGAGAUAAAUUGUACCUGCUUGCGCUGCCUCAGUUCACCCAGGGGGUGAUUUAAUGCAAAAGAUUUGAAAGCUCUAACUAGGAUUCCAUUCCAUGGGAUUUGAAGGAUGAAACAAAAACAUUUGUUUUGUUCCAGAACGUAAAACUGAUACAUGUUUUCAGCAUACAAUUUGGAAAAUACACACAAAAAAGAGAAGAUAGAACAACCCAUUAUGCCAGCACUCAGAUGCAAACGCCGUUCAUAUUUUGUAAUAUUAACUGCCAUUCUUUUCUCUGUGUGUAGACACACGUUUCUACCUUUUAUUUCCUUUGGUCCAAAUGGGAUCAUAGUUCGUGAACAGCUUUGAAAACAUUUCUUUUCCAUUUAACAACAUCUUAGAAACAUGUUUUCAUAUCAAACCUUCGGAGGUAACAUCAUUUAUGGCUGCCUGUAAUUUCAUCCUAUGUAUGGAUCCCACAUUUUGUUCAGUGAGUCUCUUCAAUGCUCAUUUAGGUUGCUUCCAAAUUGUCUCUACUGUGAGCAGUAGUGCAAUGACUGGUUUUGCUGUGUACCUCUGCCUUUUGAACUGGACAGUUGUAAUAGGAGAUAUCUUAGUGUAGGCAGAGUCAAAUGCAUGCUCAGGUCUCCCUGUCAGCUCAGACCCGCCCCGCCCAUGCUUCACGCUGAGCACAUGCUGGUCUUUGUCCUGGCAUUUUCCGGGCUCUGUGUCUUUGCUUUGAUUUUUCUGUGUCUCUUCUGUCUUAAAUGUGAAAAAAGGUGCCCCUGCUUCUGAGAACAGAGAGAACCAAGUGACAGGCCACGAAUUUCCUGGGGCACCAGUGAAUGGCCACUCCGCUUGCUGUCCGUGAGCUGACAGUGAAGCCUGAUGGUUUUUAACCUGGGCCAAGCCAUGGGUUGUCCCUGCCAUUGUCCUGUGAUGCUUUCUUCUCCAGUGCCAGCACUGAGCUCGCCUUCCAGGGCUUGUCUCCCACUGUGGUUCUAUCUAUUCCCCAGCGCAGGUGUCCUCCUAGCCACUGAUUUCCUGGUCACAGAUGCAAAGACCCACCCCUGGAGGGUGGAGGCCCUCCCUGAAGAUGGCCCCACCCCAGCAAUGCCGUUUCCUGCCCAGCAUUCAGGACUCCUUGAAGCAGAAUUGUAGGGUGCACGCUGGUGCCUUCGAGGGGCAGUCUUGAGUCUUCCCCUGUGAGUGUCCCCACCAGGCAGAGGGAAGGAACAGGAACCACUGUCCACUUGAUAUCUGUUAGGACCUAGGUUCUGGCCUGAGCACUCACAUGCUGACGAAUAAGUGUUGGCCUCAGAUUCGGGCUGCCUUGUCACACUGCGGUCAGAGAUGUGCCAGGUGGACCAUAUGAUGAUGUGUCAGCAAUUUCUAACCCACAGAUCUAGACUCAGCAGCCCCCUCCAACAGGUUUGGGAGGCAUGUCACCCAGCACACAACUCAGCUCAGACAGACUUGGUUUGGAUGACAAUGGUGGGAACCAUCACACAGCCAGCUGCAUGGGGCCAGCAGGCAAAAUUCUCUAGUCCAGGGGCCAGGCUGGCUGUGCAGGCUCAGCCAAAUCCCAAAUCCCACUCUCUGGAGCAGACUCCCAUUAACCCUGUGCACAGUACUGAUGUAUAUGCCAGAUGUCAGCUUAUUAUUACUAUUACUGUUCUACCAUUUUAUUGAGUCCUGACUGACAAAUGAAGGCUGUCCAUAUUUAAUGUAUACAACUUGAUGAGUUUGGAGCUAGGCAUACCUCUGUCAAACCAUAACCACAAUCUACACUGUAAACAUUUCCACUGUCUCCAAGAGUGUUCUCCUCCCUUCUUUAGUUAUUGUAUCAUGUUAAAUAUUUUUGGUGAAAAGGCUGGGUAUGGUGGCUCACGCCUGUAAUCCUAGCACUUUGGGAGGCCGAGGCGGGCGGAUCACGAGGUCAGGAGAUUGAGACCAUCCUGGCUAACACAGUGAAACCCCAUCUCUACUAAAAGUAUAAAAAAUUAGCCGGGCGUGGUGGCGGGCACCCGUAGUCCCAGCUAUUCGGGAGGCUGAGGCAGGAGAAUGGCGUGAACCUAGGAGGCGGAGCUUGCAGUGAGCCGAGAUCGCGCCACUGCACUCCAGCCUGGGCAACAGUGCAGGACUCCAUCUCGAAAAAAAAAAAAAUUUUGUGACAAGAACACUAAACAUAUGUAUAUUUUUAGUGAACAUUUAAGUAGACAGUACUGAACGAUAUUGAUAAUGCAAUACUGGACAAUAUGCGAUACUGAACGAUAUUGAUAAUGACAGGCACUAGACUGUACAGUAGACCUCUAGGUCUUCUCUACCACACAUAACUGAAACUUGGUGCCCUUUGACCAACCCCUCCCUGUUUCCCUGUCCCCCCAGUCCCUGGCAACCACCAUGCUACUUUCUGCUUCUAUGAGUUGGACUAUUUCAUUCAUAGAUUUUUUCCGCUUACUGAGGUAUCAUUGACAAAUAUUGUAUAAAUUUCAGGUGCACAACAUGAUGUUUGAUACAUGUAUACAUUGUGCAAGGGUUACCACAAUCUAAUUUACUUAUCCAUCACCUUAUAUAGUUAACUUUUGUGUGUAUGUGGAGACAACUUAGGGUCUACUUACUAUCUUAGCAAAUCUCAUGUAUACAAUACAUUAACUCUAGUCACCAUGCUGUACAUCAGCUCUCUAGAACUUAUUCAUUCUGCAUAACUGAAACUUUGCAUGCUUUGGCCAACAUCUCCCCAUUUCCCUCUCCUUCCAGCCCCUGGUAACCACCAUCCCACUCUCUGCUUCAUUUCUGGCUUAUUGCACUUAGCAUAAUAUCCUUCAGGUUCAUCCAUGUUGUCCCAAAUGAUAGGAUUUCCUCCCUUUUUAAGGAUGAAUAACAUUCCCUGCUGUGCGUGUGUGUGUCUAUCACCUCUUCUUUAUCUACUCAUCCAUCUAUAGACACUGAGGUUGUUUCCAUGUCUCUGCCAUCGUGAAUAAUGCUAUAGUGAACAUGGGAGUACACAUAUCUCUUCAAGACCCUGAUUUCAAAUCCUUUGAAUGUAUAUCCACAAGUGGUAUAACUGGAUCCUGUGGUAUUUCUAUUUUUAACUUUUUGAGGAACCGCCAUACUGUUUUCCAUAGAGGCUACACCAAUUUGCCUUCCUGCCUACAGUAACAAGGGCUUUUUCUUUUCCAUAUCCUUGCCAAUACAACCUUUUUUUUUUUCUUUCUGAUAAUUGCCAUCUUAACAGGUGUGAGGUGAUAUCUCACUGUAGCUUUGCAUUUCCCUAAUUAUUGGUGAUGGUGGGCACUCUCAUAUACCUGUUGGUCAUUUGUAUAUUGUCUUUGGAGAAAUGUCUACUCAGAUAAUUUGCCUAUUUUUAAAUUGGGUUAUUUUUGCAAUCUACUCAUCUGACAAAGGGCUAAUAUCCAGAAUCUACAAUGAACUCAAACAAAUUUACAAGAAAAAACAACCCCAUCAAAAAAUGGGCGAAGGAUAUGAACAGACACUUCUCAAAAGAAGACAUUUAUGCAGCCAAAAGACACAUGAAAAAAUGCUCAUCAUCACUGGCCAUCAGAGAAAUGCAAAUCAAAACCACAAUGAGAUACCAUCUCACACCAGUUAGAAUGGCGAUCAUUAAAAGUCAGGAAACAACAUGUGCUGGAGAGGAUGUGGAGAAAUAGGAACACCUUUACACUGUUGGUGGGACUGUAAACUAGUUCAACCAUUGUGGAAGUCAGUGUGGUGAUUCCUCAGGGAUCUAGAACUAGAAAUACCAUUUGACCCAGCAAUCCCAUUACUGGGUAUAUACCCAAAGGAUUAUAAAUCAUGCUGCUAUAAAGACAUAUGCACAUGUAUGUUUAUUGCGGCACUAUUCACAAUAGCAAAGACUUGGAACCAAGCCAAAUGUCCAACAGUGACAGACUGGAUUAAGAAAAUGUGGCACAUAUACACCAUGGAACACUAUGCAGCCAUAGAAAAUGAUGAGUUCAUGUCCUUUGUAGGGACAUGGAUGAAGCUGGAAACCAUCAUUCUCAGCAAACUAUCGCAAGGUCAAAAAACCAAACACUGCAUGUUCUCACUCAUAGCUGGGAAUUGAACAAUGAGAACACUUGGACACAGGAAGGGGAACAUCACACACUGGGGCCUGUUGUGGGGUGAGGGUAGAGGGGAGGAAUAGCAUUAGGAGAUAUACCUAAUGUUAAAUGAUGAGUUACUGGGUGCAGCACACCAACAUGGCACAUGUAUACAUAUGUAACAAACCUGCACGUUGUGCACAUGUACCCUAAAACUUAAAGUAUAAUAAAAAAUUGGGUUAUUUAUUUAUUUUGCUAUUAAGCUGUAGGAGUUCCUUAUAUAUUUUAGAUAUUAACCCCCAUUAUCAAAUACAUGGUUGGCAAAUAUUUUCUCCCGUUUUUUAGGUUGCUUUUUCAUCUUGGUUAUGGCUUCCUUUGUGGUGCAGAAGCCUUUCAGUUUGACACAAUCCCACUUGUCUAAUUUUAAGUCUUGCUCUAUUUUUCUUGGUCUGUAGUGUUGUUUAAGUCUGUUGUUUCCUCAUUGAUUUUCUGUCUGAAUGACCCAUCUAUUAUUGAUAGUAUUGAAUUAUGCUAUUAUUGUAUUAUUUUCUGUUUCUGUCUUAAGACCAGCCUGGCCAACAUGGUGAAACCCUGUCUCUACUAAAAAUACAAAAAUUAGCUGGGUGUAGUGGCAGGCACCUUUAAUCCCAGCUACUUGGGAGGCUGAGGCAGGAUAAUCACUUGAACCCGGGAGGUGGAGGUUGCAGUGAGCUGAGAUCUCACCAUUGCACUCCAGCCUGGAGGACAAUAGUGAGACUUUGUCUCGAAAAAAAAAAAAAUUUGUACGUGUUUACUUUAUAACUUUAGCUGUAUAUGUAUAUGUUAGGUACAUAUACAUUUAUAACUGCUGUAUCUUCUUGUUGAAUUGACACUUUUAUCAUUAUGUAAUGACCUUCGCUGUCCCUUAGGACAGUUUUUGACUUAAUGUCCAUUUUGUGUGAUAUAAUUAUAGCUACCCUGCUUUCUUUUGCUUACCAUUUACAUGGAAUAUCUUUUUUCCAUCCCUUCACUUUCAGCUUCUGUAUGUCCUUAAAUCGAAAAUGAAUCUCCUAUAGAUAGCAUAUAGUUGGAUCUUGUUUUUUAUAUAUAUAUGCAGGCUAUAUCUUCUGGUUAGUGAAUUUAAUCCAUUUAUAUUAAAGUAAUUAUUUAUAGCUAAGUACUUACUAUGACCAUUUUAAAAAUUGUUUUCUGUUUUGUAGUACUUUUGAUUCUUUCUUCCUCUCUUGUAUAUCUUGGUGAUUUGAUGAUUUUUUUGGUCAUGAUAUACUCAAUGAUUAUAUUAUCUUUAUGGUAUCUACCACAGGUUUUUUUCUUGUGGUUAUAAUGAGGUUUGCAUAACAUUUUUUAUAGUUAUAAUAGUCUGUUUUAAGCUGAUAACAACUUCAAUUACAUACAAACUCUGUACACUUUUACUGCUCCCCUCCUUCACUUUAUGCUAUUGAUGUCAAAAUUUAAUUUAUAUUGUGCAUUCAUUAAUAAAUGUUUUUGGUUAUAGCUA